UUACACGUGCAAGUCGAACGAAAGUUUUUAACUUUAGUGGCGAACGGGUGCGUAAUACGUGAGAAUCUGCCCUUAGGAGGAGGAUAACUGCUGGAAACGGCUGCUAAAACUCCAUAUGUCGAGAGAUGAAAAAUUUAUUGCCUAAGGAUGAGCUCGCGCCUGAUUAGCUAGUUGGUGAGGUAAUGGCUCACCAAGGCCACGAUCAGUAGCUGGUUUGAGAGAACGAUCAGCCACACUGGGACUGAGACACGGCCCAGACUCCUCCGGGAGGCAGCAGUGAGGAAUUUUCCGCAAUGGGCGAAAGCCUGACGGAGCAAUACCGCGUGAGGGAUGAAGGAUUUUGGUCUGUAAACCUCUUUUCUCAAGAAUGAAGUUCUGACGGUACUUGAGGAAUAAGCAUCGGCUAACUCCGUGCCAGCAGCCGCGGUAAUACGGGGGAUGCAAGCGUUAUCCGGAAUCAUUGGGCGUAAGCGCCUGUAGGUUGUUUAAUAAGUCUGUUGUUAAAGCCUAGGGCUUAACCCUAGAAAAGCAAUGGAAACUACUAGACUAGAGUAUGGCAGGGGUAGAGGGAAUUUCUAGUGUAGCGGUGAAAUGCGUAGAUAUUAGAAAGAACACCGGUGGCGAAAGCGCUCUACUGGACCAUUACUGACACUCAGAGGCGAAAGCUAGGGUAGCAAAAGGGAUUAGAUACCCCUGUAGUCUUAGCCGUAAACGAUGGAUACUAGAUGUUGUGCGUCAUGUACAGUAUCGUAGCUAACGCGUUAAGUAUCCCG
rnacentral:rRNA from 1 species